rnacentral:tRNA from 1 species
CGGGGCGUGGCGCAGCCUGGUAGCGCACCUGCUUUGGGAGCAGGGAGCCGGGGGGUCAAAUCCCUCCGCCCCGACCA